CGCACUGUACAGCUGUAUCAGCUGCUCGUAGGACAUGUCCAGCAGCUAGCUGCUCGAGGUCCACGCCGCAGCAGGUGAUACAUCCUCUUCGCAGACAGCAGAAAAACAUCAGAUUUGUGAUUUAAUUGGGAGUUUUCUGGGAUCGAACAGUGGCUUCGUUUACAGACGUGACAGCUUGAGCCAGAGGGUGCCAGCCAGUGCCAUGAUGUGACCAAGGCCAUCAACAGCAGAGCCGCAAGGGAGCAGGAGCCUUGGUCCCUGAGGACAUGCUGGAGCUAACUUGGGAAUCCUGAGGUGGCCACCUCCAAAAUGUUACAUGAAAGAGAAAAGUAAACAUCUAACUUGCUUAAGCUGCUAUUGUUUUGGGGUUUGUCAUUUACAGCCAAACCUAAUCCUCAUUAAAAUAGUGGUGGAACUGGAAUUUGAACCAGUUUACUCCCAAGACCAAACUUAACCUCUUUGACAUAUUAUUUCUACUGUAAAACUCUACGCCCACACCAGUUCAUCUUUAAAAAAAAAAAAAAAUUUAUUUUCUCACAUUUCUGGAGGUUAGAUCCAAUAUCAGUGCGCCACCAGGGUUGGUUUCUGAUGAGGUCUCUCCUUCCUCAUGGUGGGUGGCUGCCUUCUGGCUGUGUCUUCAUAUGGCCUCUUGGCUAUUCUUGUGUGGAGAGGUUCCCUGGUGUCUCGUCCUCUUCUCAUGAGGACAACAGUCCUGUGGGAUAAGGCCUUGCCCUUAUGACCUCACUUAACCCUAUUACUUUCUUAUAGACCUUAUGUUUACUGGUUUAUUAUAAAGGAUACAGAUGAAGAGACACAUAGAGCGUGGUUUGGGGCUAGGAGUGUGGAGCUUCUGUGUCCUCUCUGGAUGCACCACCCUCCAUGUGUUCA
rnacentral:lncRNA from 1 species